AUCGGAAUUACUGGGCGUAAAGGGAGCGUAGGUGGCUCUAUAAGUCAGAUGUGAAAUCCCCGGGCUUAACCUGGGAACUGCAUCUGAAACUGUAGAGCUAGAGUAUGUGAGAGGAAGGUAGAAUUCCAGGUGUAGCGGUGAAAUGCGUAGAGAUCUGGAGGAAUACCGAUGGCGAAGGCAGCCUUCUGGCAUAAUACUGACACUGAGGCUCGAAAGCGUGGGUAGCAAACAGGAUUAGAUACCCUGGUAGUCCACGCCGUAAACGAUGUCUACUAGUCGUUGGGUCCCUUGAGGACUUAGUGACGCAGCUAACGCAAUAAGUAGACCGCCUGGGGAGUACGGCCGCAAGGUUAAAACUCAAAUGAAUUGACGGGGGCCCGCACAAGCGGUGGAGCAUGUGGUUUAAUUCGAUGCAACGCGAAGAACCUUACCUGGUCUUGACAUAUCUAGAAUCCUGCAGAGAUGCGGGAGUGCCUUCGGGAAUUAGAAUACAGGUGCUGCAUGGCUGUCGUCAGCUCGUGUCGUGAGAUGUUGGGUUAAGUCCCGCAACGAGCGCAACCCUUGUCCUUAGUUACCAGCGGGUUAAGCCGGGAACUCUAAGGAUACUGCCAGUGACAAACUGGAGGAAGGCGGGGACGACGUCAAGUCAUCAUGGCCCUUACGACCAGGGCUACACACGUGCUACAAUGGUAGGUACAGAGGGCAGCUACACAGCGAUGUGAUGCGAAUCUCAAAAAGCCUAUCGUAGUCCAGAUUGGAGUCUGCAACUCGACUCCAUGAAGUAGGAAUCGCUAGUAAUCGCGGAUCAGAAUGCCGCGGUGAAUACGUUCCCGGGCCUUGUACACACCGCCCGUCACACCAUGGGAGUUGAUUGCACCAGAAGUGGAUAGCUUAACCUUCGGGGGAGCGUCACCACGG
rnacentral:rRNA from 1 species